AAAAGUUGGUAAGUUAUGUAAGGAAUUUCUAAAUUAAGUUUUAUACUACAUGUUAUAUGUGAUAUUAAACCACUGUAUGGUGCAUAUUACUGUAUGUAACUUACUAUGCAUAGAGUACUUACUGACAAAAUUAUUUUUUGUACAUUCCAGAACCCCCUGAAUGAUGUAGGCUAUGGGGCCACAUAAGACUUUGUCCAUCCAGGGUUACAUUGAACAAGAAAUUUAAACUAAAAAACCAACAUUUUUCACACAACUCCAGGUUGUUACUACAAGUGUCAUCAAGGGAUAACUACAAGUAGAAGCACCAUUUUUGGAUGGAAAAAAUCCUUCAGGAAAGUAUACGUAUCACAUGUAACAUGUAGUGUAACAAAGUAUGAACAGUAAGGUUUUUACAUACAGUAGUACAUACAUACGUAUUACAUACGUACAUAACUUUUUUUUACAGGAAUUUCCAACCAAGUUUGAUUAUGUACAUAUGUACAUGUUAUAAACCACUGUACGUAUGGUUACUGUAUGUAACUUACUAAACAUACAUAACAUGACUUAACUUUGAUACUUUUUUGGUACAUUCCAGAAAACCAGGACCCCCUCCAUGAUGCAGGCUAUGGGGCCACAUAAAACUUUGUCCAGGGUUACUACAUAACAUAGCACGACAACUGUAAACUAUGUACUACUGUACUAAAGAACCCCCUGAAUGAUGUAGGCUAUGGGGCCACAUAAGACUUUGUCCAUCCAGGGUUAUAGUGAACGACAAUUUUAAACUAAAGAACCCCCUGAAUGAUGUAGGCUAUGGGGCCACAUAAGACUUUGUCCAUCCAGGGUUAUAGUGAACGACAAUUUUAAACUAAAGAACCCCCUGAAUGAUGUAGGCUAUGGGGCCACAUAAGACUUUGUGCAUCCAGGGUUACGUUGAACGUCAAAUUUAAACUAAAAAGCUACCAGACUGGGAUUUUAGUGUACUCCAGGAUCUAACAAAUACUACUACGAAGUGUACAGUGCAUAAUAUAGUGUUUAGUGUAUAAUCUAACCUAAGGAUUAAGUGUAGUACAUUGUGCUUUAUAGUGUCACAAGAGUUUAAUAAAGAAUUAUACCUUCAAGAACCAUCCUUUGCCAUUGAAAUAACCACACUACACAUCAUGCAAUAUACUUGCAUGUCACACAGGUAAGGUCUCUAACUUUUUCUUAGUUUAAGGCAUAUUUCCAAGUGUCGUUCCGG